rnacentral:rRNA from 1 species
UACGUAGGGUCCGAGCGUUGUCCGGAAUUACUGGGCGUAAAGAGCUCGUAGGUGGUUUGUCGCGUUGUUCGUGAAAACUCACAGCUUAACUGUGGGCGUGCGGGCGAUACGGGCAGACUUGAGUACUGCAGGGGAGACUGGAAUUCCUGGUGUAGCGGUGAAAUGCGCAGAUAUCAGGAGGAACACCGGUGGCGAAGGCGGGUCUCUGGGCCGAUACUGACACUGAGGAGCGAAAGCGUGGGGAGCGAACAGG